rnacentral:lncRNA from 1 species
UGGUUUCUAGGGCAUACAUCCAACUGACAGAUGUAUGUGGAAGGGGUAGUUUAGCUCUUUGAAAAUUUUGGGCAUUAAAUAAAUGGGAAGUGUUAGUAUUAUGUAAUCAAAGUUUUUUUCUUUUCCCAUUGGGUAAAUCAGCGAAAUCUUCCACUUUAAUUCAUUUGACCUACUUUGUUAUAAUUGGCACUUUUGGCAAUGCGACUCCACCCUUGAGUUCAACUCCACUUAGUUUUUUUUUUUGUUAAAAAAAUGUUUUUCCUUUCCAUUGCAUCUUUUCUUACUGCUAUUUUCAGCUCUUUAUCAUGGUAAUUCCUUCAGAGGAACCUGCUAGGGGUGUUCUAGACCUUUGUGAGGCACAUGCAUCACAUGCCACAAGUCUAGUGUUUUGUAAAAUAAACGAACUAAGACGUAUUCAGGAGGGUAGGGUAAAAAGGUUACUGCAAGGUAGUCAAAACACACCAAAGGUACCCAAUAGAGAGUAAAAUAAAGUUCUUAGUUUAUGCAGCCUCCAAAGUCAUACACAAAAGGCACAUAAAAAGUAGCAAACAACAGUUUCACUGGUCUUCCACUUUAGCAGGGACAUUGCUCCACAGAUGUAAAGGGUUUUCCACUAAUCAUCUUUGGAAGAUGGUGAGACUUACAUAUUUGGUUAUUGCAUAUCAUAGGAGUACUUGUUGUAGGAUUUUAAGGAUGAUAGAAUGCUGAGUGAUGGAUUUCUUAAUGAAUUAUGAUCAAUAUUGACAUUUUAGUGCUAUUGAUAAAAGAUACUAGUUUGAAAAUGGGUGUUAGCAUUAGGAACUAAGUGCCUGAAGUAGGUGCACAACCAUAAGAAAACAAGAAUUUUGGCUACCAGGCACAAUUGCACAGCUCAAAAUCUUUAACUAUUGUUUCUGAUCUCUAUAGAUUUCUUCCUCGUUCUUUCCUCUUCUUAAUCUAAGGAUUACUAUAUGCUAGUCGCUGAAUUGUUCAUGGCUGCUAAAACUUUUUCUAAUUAUCUAAAGAUGCAUGAGUUGGAGAAUCCGAUCCAUGUUGAGAUGUAACUGUUGUUCUUCAAGGCUUGAAUGUGCCAUUAUGAUCAUGAAAAUUACCUUUUAUGACCUGCUACUUGUAGAAGGAAGACAAGUAGUUUCUGUAUAUCAGUACAUGUGAAGAGAUUUCCUAAUUUCUUUGGAUCACUACUUUAUGAUUUGGUUAUAAAAAUUAACAACUUUCAAAAUUUAUGACUAUUCAAUCGCUUAGAUUCUGUUUAGACUUGUUUCAACACCUUAUUUUUAAGUUAAAUUCGAAUUAUUUUGAUAACAUGGGAUAGUUCCUACAAAAAAAGAAAAAAGAAAAGAAAGAUGUCAUAUAAUAGCUUCAUCAAGAGGAUCUAAUUGGGUUGAUGGGGAUUCAAAAUGCACAAGACUUAAUAAAGGCCCUAGUUUCUUGAAGUUCAGAUAUGCGAUUUUAUUAGAAGUGAACUAGCUUGGUUGAACUUUUAAAGAAAAUAGCUCAUAGUUGACCAAAUUCCAAGUUGGGCUUUGG